CGGAGUCUCCUGCGGGCUCUGCUGGUCACUAAAAUGUGUCUGACGGUGAGAACAUUGAGCAGCAGAAUCAGGAGAAAUGGGACACCCGGGGUUAGAAUGUGGUGGAGGAACUCGAUUGUGACCCAGACACUGGAGAAUAGAACAGCGUCUGUUACAUCACAAAACCAGGGGGCGUUCCCCAGCCAAUACCGAGCCGUGAGCAUAAAAUACCAGGAAAUGUUCUUUAAACAGCUCAGCACAGUCACUGCUCCCAGAACCACAGCCGCCGUUUUCUCACUGCAAUAUUUACUUUUCAGCUUCUGGCAACAAAUGGCCACAAACCGAUCAAAGGUGAAAGUGACGGUGAACCAGACAGAGCAGUCAGUGGCUGCAUAAAGCAGGACGGCGUGGAUAUUACACACGGGGACGGAGUACCUCAGGAAAUAAAACUGUUCCCGAUAAACAAUGGGAAUGUGUCUCAGGAUCAGGUCGAGGAUAAUGACCAGGAGAUCCGCCGCUGCCAUGGCCCCCAGGUAUCUGUGUUAGCUGUCUGGAUACAGAAUUGGCUGGCCAGCAGAAGACAGCGAGUGGUAGUGGAAGGAAAAUAUUCUGCCUGGAAGUCUGUGGGACAUAUAAACAUAUCUUCAAAGCGACCGAGACCAUUUCCUGCUCAGGGUAUGGCUCUGUGUAUGACAGCAGCAAUGAUGCACCGACAUGGAACAGGGAAUGUGAUGGAGACAUAGUUUGGACAAUGUACAAGGAGACCUCACAUGGUCCAGUUUGGGAGAGAAUGACAUUAUUGUGUGAUUCAGCUCAGAGAGGGAGAAAAUGUCACCUGCCAGAGAAGAAACGGCCUAUUGCACUCUCUCUCCUUCAUUAUUCCUCAUCACAGUAACGUGUGCGAGCUAAAACAAAACUCUACUGUCAUCGUUACCAUUCUUAUUUUUAUACAAUCCCAGCAGUGUGGAAACAAGCCCUUCGGCCCAACAAGUCCAUACUAACCCUCCAAUCAGUAACCUUCCCAUGCCCUUACAGUUACCAUUGACUAGUGCACCUAAAGUAGAAAUCGCUGAACACUAUGGACUAUUUGACCAAUCCACUUGAAUUAUACAGCUUUGGGCUGUGGGAGGAAAUGGGAGCACCCAUCAGAAGCUCACACAGACAAGGGGAGAAGAUGCAAACUCCACGCAGAUAGUCUCCCGAGGCUGGAAUUGAACACAUGUCCCUGAUGCUGUGAUGGAACAGUGCGAACUACUGAGCCACUGUGCUCACCUGGGACCUCCUGCCAGCCUAAUGCAAAGGGAAUUCCGCCAAAUCCAACUCUCCCAGGAUAAAAUCCCAUUGCUAGCAGCUGUGUGAGUACAAUAUCUUCAGAAGCAGAGUAACAUUUUGGACAAUCUCUCAAUUUUUCCUUUUGUCAUUAGUUACACUAAUAUUUGGACAAGGUUCUUUCAAUGUGAAAUUGCAGAGAUUGUGUGUGUGUGUGUGUG